CUUUUCCCCGGGGCCUGCACCCAACAGGAAAGGAGGAAGGGGAUGGUCCUCUGUGCUCUCAGCAGAGGGUCCACCAGGGCCUCCUCAGAGCCUCGGGGGUUGGGACUCUGGGUCAGGGCACGCUGGGGCUGGGGGAGCCCCACGGCUCAGCGCUGAGCUGCUUUUCAACGCUGAGAUCCCAUUGCAGGCUGGACGGCAUCCUGACGACCCAGGGAUGCGAGGAGCGCGGGAGGCUGCCCGCCUUCAACAGGACCCUGAUGCUGCGCCGGCAAGUGAUCGAGCCCCCCAAYGCUCACUGCAUAGCUUCAGCAGGCAAUAGAAACAGCAAAAGACAACCCUCCCAUCCCGAACCGCCCGGCAAAAAUCUUCCACUUGCUGGGCAAGCAGGAGAUGGCCAAAGGGAUAUGCAGCAUGGCACUGGAUGCUCCAGAGGAUCCAGAGCUCAGCUGGCAGGAGUACUGCACCUGGGCGUGGAUAGGUCACUGCCUCCAAACCUGCCCUUCAYACCCAUCACGGUUUGGCCAGAGACACAGUGACGGUGUGUGAAACAGCGUCUGUGCUUGACCGCUCCCAUCAACAACUCCACUAAACCCCAUUAAAUCUAUGAUGCUCUUCCAGCAACGCCUAACACCCAGGUUUCUGCAGUCCUGGCAGCUCUGGCCACCUGAUUUCUGGAGCCACAAGGAAAGGUAUCCUCCUGCUUGACAGUGCUGGAAAUGUGUGUAAUCCAUGGAGAGCAGGAGAAAAGCUCAUGAAGGUCUGGUUCUUCUUGCUGAGGAAGUCCCUAAACCAGCCAGGAGAGAGUAGCACACAAAGCUUACUCAAUAUAUGCCCUACUUUUAUCUUCUGCCACGCAUCUGCUAGACACCAGUGUCAAGGACAGGAUACACCGUUAGAUGGGCCCCCGAUGUGACCAAGACAACCUUUCUCAUAUGCCCUCCAACGCGAGGACAGCCCAGAUGAUUGCACACACCUCUACAAAUCCCACCCAGCACAGUGAUGAGCAGGCCCAUCUCCUGACCACCUGCUGCUGAGCAAYGCUGGCCCAAGACACAUCAUGCCUGACACAUCCAGGGCGCCUGGGCAGCUUUCCAGGGGCCAUUUGCCUUCUCUAGGGCUCCUGGCUGUCCUCUAACAUCACGCACUGCCAGCAUGGGGGCUGCUGCCUAGAAUCACAUAUAUAUCUYGUGCUGAGCAGGCGGAAACACACCUGGGUUACACCUAAGCUGCAUGGGRGCUAAUUUAGAAAAUUGGUCAACAAGCCUUUGCAUUGGGAAGCUGUCUUUACCAAUGAGAUAAAAGGCAAGGACAUGCAAGGUCCCGUGCGGAGGGUAGGCAUGGUCUGUGAGCAGUCCAAGGGGUGGGUAGAUCCUCUUCCAACGGAGACCCAGUCCUCCUCCGGCCUGUGAGAUGGCCACUGCUUUUUACCACAGAGUGUCAAUUUGUGUUGCUCAUUUAAUCGUGGCGAGAAACACCUAGGAAGAACUCAUUACCUGAUAAAACAGCAAAGGCUGGUCUGGCAAGGAAGUCACUACGUAGAGCCAGGACAUCUGGRCCAAAUCCUGGCUCUGGCACAUAUCUGCUGAGGGAGUUCCCUCAGGUCUCUCUGGGUGGUUUUACAAGAUGCUGCAUCACUUUACAGAACAGACUCAAGCAGUUAAUGACCUUAAUGCUCCUAAGUCGRUCAGGAGCAUCAAAACCAUGCCCGUUAAUCCCUUGAUUUUCCCAGUUCCAGACCUCUAUAAAUGGCAGUGCAUAUUAAUGUGUAUUUUCCAUUAAAGAAGAAUCAUGAAGAUGUCCUCGAAUCUCAUUUUUAAAUAAAAUAAGGGGUCAUUCUUGCUUUCUUAUAUUU
ensembl:lncRNA